rnacentral:rRNA from 1 species
UUGGUGAGGUAAUGGCUCACCAAGGCUUCGACGGGUAGCCGGCCUGAGAGGGUGACCGGCCACACUGGGACUGAGACACGGCCCAGACUCCUACGGGAGGCAGCAGUGGGGAAUAUUGGACAAUGGGCGAAAGCCUGAUCCAGCAACGCCGCGUGAGGGAUGACUGCCUUCGGGUUGUAAACCUCUUUCAGUAGGGACGAAGCGAAAGUGGCGGUACCUGCAAAAGAAGCACCGGCCAACUACGUGCCAGCAGCCGCGGUAAUACGUAGGGUGCGAGCGUUGUCCGGAAUUAUUGGGCGUAAAGGGCUCGUAGGCGGUUUGUCACGUCGGGAGUGAAAACUCAGGGCUUAACCCUGAGCCUGCUUCCGAUACGGGCAGACUAGAGGUAUGCAGGGGAGAACGGAAUUCCUGGUGUAGCGGUGAAAUGCGCAGAUAUCAGGAGGAACACCGGUGGCGAAGGCGGUUCUCUGGGCAUUACCUGACGCUGAGGAGCGAAAGUGUGGGGAGCGAACAGGAUUAGAUACCCUGGUAGUCCACACCGUAAACGUUGGGCGCUAGGUGUGGGACUCAUUCCACGAGUUCCGUGCCGCAGCUAACGCAUUAAGCGCCCCGCCUGGGGAGUACGG